ensembl:snoRNA small nucleolar RNA SNORA79
UGACGUCAGUUCCUCCUCCUGCUCUAAGUUCAGCAGUGUGGAUUUUAUGAUGUCACAGAAUAAGAUGGGGUCUAUUUCACCCAGGAGAUGUUUGGGUGGCAGUGCUGCCCCUCUAACCUCCUGGUUUUGCUGGACCCCACAAAU